UUUUUUUUUUUUUAAAAAAAAACAAUCCAGGAUAAUCUCCUUCUCUCCAGAUCCUUAAUUUAAUAACAUUUGCCAAAACUUUACCAUAUAAGGUGACACUCACAGGCUCCUGAUGUCUUUGGGAAUUGCCAUUCAGCUGACUACAGUCCUUGACUGUGUCACACAUUUCACAGAUAUGCAUCUUCACGACUACCUUGGGUUUCGGAGCUGCCUCUCAUUCCUAGCCGGAGCAAGCCGAAAGGGAAGCAGCCACAGCUUCAUUUAAUCAGAAUGUGAGAGCGGUUGGUUUGUACUUGUCAAUCAGAACCAGAGAAGUCAAGAUUUUGUUUCGACGCUACUGGGUCAUCAUUUCUAACAGAGGCGGCAGAGACCCUGUGUUCUGGACUUAGAUGGCCCGGGUCACCUCCCAGCUGUACCUCACGUUAGGUGUAACCUUGGGAAAUUUGCUUAAGUUUUCUAUGCCUCCGUUUUGAAUCUGUAAAAUGAGUGCAGUUGUGGUACCUGUCUCCAGGGGUGACUGUGAGGAUUAAAAGGGGCCCAGCUCACAGUCAACACUAGGUAAUUGUUUCCAUUGACGUGUGUUUCUGUGCACGUGGAUGGAGGGAGGAUCCGGGACAAGGGAGAACACUUGCUACAUUUCUAAAAUUAGAAGUCUCCAGUCUGCUUUUUUCUCUUGUAAUUUCGUUGCUGCCUUCUAAGAGCAAUAUGCAGAGAACGUUCUGUUUAACUCAGAAUCAUGGUUAUUAGGAUGCCCACUAAUUGGUAUCUCUGUAUAAUUAUACACACUUCAGGAAUGUGCACUACACGGUGGAUGUAUGGAGGGGCAGAUCCAACUUCGCGGGCCGAAGAAAUGUACUAUGGGAGACCUCGUUAUGAAAAGGAGGCCCUGGUGGUGCAAAGAGUUACAGAGCUCAGCUGCUAACUGAAAGGUUGGAAGUUUGAGUGCACCCAACCUCGGAAGAAAGGUGAUUCUAAACCGUGAAAGAAGGCGUGAAAGAAUCGAAUGGCUACUGCAAUCACAGUCUAUUCCCAGCUUCUGUGUGAAUGGCCAGAUAUGAGCACCACACCUCCUCCCCGACACCGCUCCAUGUUUGCCAGCCCAGCCUGGCUAAGAAACCUCGUAGCCCACAUAAUUCAGAAUAAGUGAAGAGAGGAAAAAAAAUUCUUUUUAAAGUUUGUUUCGGUCUAAAUGACCUAAGCUAUGUGACUACCACCUGUCUGUCAGUUGGUCAUACUGUGAUGGCUUGCAUGUUUGUGUAAUGCUGGAAGCUAUGCCACUGCUAUAUCAAAUACCAGCAGGGUAAUCUAUGGUGGACAGGUUUCAGCAGAGCUUCCAGACUAAGACAGACUAGGAAGAAAUGCCUGUUUAUCUACUUCUGAAAAUAAGUUCAUAAAAAUUCUAUGGAUCACACAGAAUGUUGUCCAAUAUAAUGCUGGAAUAUGAGCCCAUAGGUUGAAAGGCGCUCAAAAUACACAGUGGCUACAACAAUGGACUCAAACAUACCAAUGAACGUGAAGAUGGUGUAGAAACAGGCAAUGUUUUUUUCUGUUGUACAUGGAGUCACCAUGAGUUGGAGCGAACUCAAUGGCAACCAACAACUAACAAUAAAGCUACAUAAGAAAACUUUUUUUGUUGUUGUUAAACUCAGAUCAUCCAGGACUUAGGUCUCUGUUUGGGUCCAGUAAUCCCCUGGCUGUCUGUCUGGCAAGCGUUACUGUCAUACAGGACUAGGAACAUACCGGGUUGAGUUGGUAAGGAGGUGCAUGGUUGUACUUAGCAUCUGGGACAGCUGAGGGCCAAGAGGCCUGAGCAGAAUGAGGGCACCAUCCAUGGAGACUCAGUAUGUGUCAGUCUCCUAGGGAAUGGGAGCAAGAAAUAUUGGGAGAAAGACUGUUGUCUCUUAGAGACAAUCCCACUGUGGAGAAAGAAGUGCAAACAAAAAAGCCUAAACCAGCAAGAGGCAAUGAAUGCGAAGUUCUGAGGCAGGGAACUCAAAGUCAUCAACUCAAAGCUACCAACUCACCUCAAAGCCACCAGCUCAAAGCCAUAAGUUCUGCCUUCCAGCCCUUAUAGAGCUCCCCUUUGCUGAACUCAUAUGACAUUUUCCAACUUUAUCACUCAUUCUGGCAUUUAUAGCAGUAUCAUGUGUAUAUGUUAUCUCUUCACAACUGGAAUAUAGGCUCCUGGAGGGUGAGACCAUGGCCGACAA